CGCAUCUGUGCAUGCAGCAUAUCAAUAAGCGGAGGAAAAGAAACUAACAAGGAUUCCCCUAGUAACGGCGAGUGAAGCGGGAAGAGCUCAAAUUUGAAAUCUUAAAGGGUUUCCCUUUACGAAUUGUAGUUUAAAGAAGUGUUUUCUGUUGAGGUUUUGGUAAAAGUUCUUUGGAAUAGGACAUCAUAGAGGGUGAGAAUCCCGUAUUUGACCUUUACUUUCAACUUUGUGAUACACUUUCAAAGAGUCGGAUUGUUUGGGAAUGCAGGUCCAAAAUGGGUGGUAAAUUUCAUCUAAAGCUAAAUAUUGGUGAGAGACCGAUAGCGAACAAGUACCGUGAGGGAAAGAUGAAAAGAACUUUGAAAAGAGAGUUAAACAGUACGUGAAAUUGUCAAAAGGGAAGCGUUUGACACCAGUGUUGUUUUUCUGAAAAUCAAUUAAAGAACUGUUUAUGCUAAGCUGUUUAGACUUUAUCAGCUAUCUGUUUAGUUUUGAGCUUUUCUUUAAUGCACUUUUCAGUUAACAAGUCAACAUCAAUUUCUUUUGCUGUAAAAAAGCUUGAGGAAGGUGGCUUGAGAUUCGUCUUAAGUGUUUAUAGCCUCUUGCCUAUGCAGUCGGAGAGAUUGAGGUCUGCAGCGUAGAUCCUUCGGGGCUAAAUGCAUUUGUGCUAAGUUAUAGCAUUUUAUAGACAACUUGUUGACUAUGAUUUGUCUUGUAGCUUACUCGCUUAUGUUAUUUUACCUACGCUUAGGAUGUUGAGUCGUAGAGCACGCAG
rnacentral:rRNA from 1 species